UACGAAGGGGGCUAGCGUUGCUCGGAAUCACUGGGCGUAAAGCGCACGUAGGCGGAUUUGUUAAGUCAGGGGUGAAAUCCUGGAGCUCAACUCCAGAACUGCCUUUGAUACUGGCGAUCUUGAGUCCGGGAGAGGUGAGUGGAACUGCGAGUGUAGAGGUGAAAUUCGUAGAUAUUCGCAAGAACACCAGUGGCGAAGGCGGCUCACUGGCCCGGUACUGACGCUGAGGUGCGAAAGCGAUGGGGAGCCAAACUAGGGGGAAUU
rnacentral:rRNA from 1 species